AAAUCGAAGAGAUUGAAUAAUCCAAUUAAAAAAAAUAAAAAAUAAAAAAUAAAAAAAUAAUUUUUGUUUAUCAAUAUUGUAUUUACAGGGACGCUGCACAGUUAAGAGUGGGGCUAUGUAGAAUAAGUAGUUAUUUUCAGAAUAUAGAUACCUAGUGUAUAGUAUAAAUAGGGAUAGAUAACUGUUGAAAAGGUGGUUCAGCAGGUAGAAUGGAUGAAUAGUCAGGAAAAGUAAUUAUCAUCUGUAGUAUAAGAAUUGGUAUCUUGGGAUAGUAUAAGGAGAAUGGGAGAGGGGAAGAAAAUGCCAAAUUGUCAUAGUAUUGAGCCGAGGAUAAGCUUAGUGCUAUCUCUUCUUUUUAAUUUUCUUGUUUCUUUUGUGUUAGUGUUGAUUCAAGUGAAGAGAAUCGAUUUAAUGAAUCAAUGUUUAAUUUACAAAGUUAUUUAUAGAUGACUAUUUAUCAAUUAUUGUG
rnacentral:lncRNA from 1 species